rnacentral:piRNA from 1 species
UUAAUGUCUAUUAGUAUCCCAAAAGGAAACU